UCCCUGGUGGCUCAGAGGUUAAAGCAUCUGCCUGCAAUGUGGGAGACCUGGGUUCUAUCCCUGGGUGGGGAA
rnacentral:tRNA from 1 species